AACGAACGCUGGCGGCAUGCCUAACACAUGCAAGUCGAACGAGACCUUCGGGUCUAGUGCCGCACGGGUGCGUAACGCGUGGGAACCUGCCCUUAGGUUCGGAAUAACUCCCCGAAAGGGGUGCUAAUACCGGAUAAUGUCUUCGGACCAAAGAUUUAUCGCCUUUGGAUGGGCCCGCGUUGGAUUAGCUAGUUGGUAGGGUAAAAGCCUACCAAGGCGACGAUCCAUAGCUGGUCUGAGAGGAUGAUCAGCCACACUGGGACUGAGACACGGCCCAGACUCCUACGGGAGGCAGCAGUGGGGAAUAUUGGACAAUGGGCGAAAGCCUGAUCCAGCAAUGCCGCGUGAGUGAUGAAGGCCUUAGGGUUGUAAAGCUCUUUUACCCGGGAUGAUAAUGACAGUACCGGGAGAAUAAGCUCCGGCUAACUCCGUG
rnacentral:rRNA from 1 species